rnacentral:rRNA from 1 species
UACGGAGGGGGCUAGCGUUGUUCGGAAUUACUGGGCGUAAAGCGCGCGUAGGCGGACCUGCAAGUCGGGGGUGAAAGCCCGAGGCUCAACCUCGGAACUGCCUUCGAUACUGCGGGUCUCGAGUCCGGGAGAGGUGAGUGGAAUUCCUAGUGUAGAGAUGAAAUUCGUAGAUAUCUGGAGGAACACCGGUGGCGAAGGCGGCAUCCUGGACCGGUAUUGACGCUGAGGCGCGAAAGCCAGGGGAGCAAACGGG